UAACAGAUAACUCAUUAAUCUAUUUAUACAUGAAAUCAAAACUUACUGCUGUUCUACAACUUGUCCGUUGUAACAGAUAGAACAUGACCUAAUUUCUUCAUUUUUCGUCAAUCUAUCCUGACAUGUAUAUCGGUGCACUCAACUUCAGCUAUCUCUUUCAAGUCAACAAAUGGUUUAAAACACUGUUAGUUGAACUUUUUAUUUUCAUUUUACCUAUUUAUAUUUUUUUCUGGUUAAAACAAGCAUCUAACACAUUUUAAAACCAUGUGAAACUAAUGUACUAACGUCAGAACAACACAACGUCAUUAUCCAACAUGGCGGAAAUCGCAGACUGUUUGUUUGCAAAUCUUCCUCAACGAAGUCGUAUAUCAUGUGGUUUAUACUCUGUGUACAGAUAUAAAAAAGCAUGUAGUGUAUUGAAAAAUUUCAACAAAGAUAUUAACAGUCAUCUUCGUCGCGUUUACGUGGAGCAAAACAGCGUGAGUUACGAAAGCAAACUGAUUCUUGUCAGGUGUGGAUUCUUUUGUCUCCGAUGAUCGCAAUUGGACAUUUCCAAGUAUCUUUGGGAGAAUGAAUGGGUUACACCAUGUGACCAGCAUUGGGAUAUGGGCUUGGUUUGUGCUGGAAACCAUCCACACAGGGAAAAACGAGCCUAUAACGAAAUAUGUCACGGGAUUAACUUGCAGAUGUCAGUGUAGACAAAAAGCCAUUUGAAUCUACUGGUGCCACUUGGUUCAGGCAUAUUUGAGAAGUGUUAUUUGACACACAGUGAUCUUAUGGUCAGCAAGAGUCCAAAGCCUUGCAGAAACUGAAACUAGUGUGGAAAUGAGGGCUGUUGUAGAAAGGCAUAUGUGUAAAUGAAAGCCACAAUAUAACAAAUGCCGAGGAGAUGCAUGAGGCCCUAGUUUCUGCAGUUGGAGCCAUUUUCUACAUCCAGCUAGACAGACAGACUUGAUUCCUAAAACAUGAGAAAAGGUGUCUCCCUUCCUUGAGCACUUUUAACAUGAGUGAUACUGAUGUUAAAGUUAAUUUGGAUUUUUCUGAGGCAAAUGUGCCAACUGGAACCAUACCAAGCAAGAUCACAAACAAGGAAAUUUUUCUUGUCCAGAGAAGUCUUCUCUGAAAUCUUUUGCUACCAAGACUGAAGAGUAAUUGUAAGGUCCUUUUUUUAGACCACAGUUAUGAAAUGUGCCAAAAAAACAGCUUUUGAUCAAAUUAAAGUCUAGUGGGCCAACAAUCUGACUAAAGAAAAACUUAAAGCACAUCAGCUGUGAGAGAACUCCACCCUCUUGAAUAUCUCACUGAGUUACACAAUGGAUGAGCUUUAAAGUCAUCUAAACCUUUGAAACUAUAUUCAAAUAAAGUAAAGGAGUUUUACUGAAUGAGUUUAGAAGGGCACAAGAAACAGGCCAGCAGAACCUAGCAUUUGUGAGCAUGAAGAUGAGAUUGAAAUGUCAGUAAGGAGGGUUACAGACUAAUCAGGAAGAAAAAUGUAUUAAAAACUUUGAUGUUAUGAGCUGUAAUGUUUGAUAUAAAACUGCAAAGAUGUUUCAUAACACCAGGAUAUAUUUUGCAGUUGUGUUAGUUUUGCUUUUUGAAUAGAAAAUUAUCUUGUUUUGCUACAUUAUGAUAUAGUUUGUAAUGAUCACAACUAAUGUUGCACUGCUUUGCAUGUAUUGCUGUAUUACAAUUUUGUGAUUUUUUUAUUAUUUGUAAUUAUUCAUCUGAGACAACAAUAAACUGAAUUGAAUAAUU